rnacentral:rRNA from 1 species
UACGUAGGGGGCUAGCGUUGUCCGGAUUUAUUGGGCGUAAAGAGCGUGUAGGCGGCCGGGUAAGUCCGGUGUGAAAACUCGAGGCUUAACCUCGAGAUGUCAUCGGAAACUAUUCGGCUAGAGUCCGGAAGAGGAGAGUGGAAUUCCGGGUGUAGUGGUGGAAUGCGUAGAGAUCCGGAGGAACACCAGCGGCGAAGGCGGCAUCCUGGACUGGUCCUGACACUCAGGAGCGAAAGCGUGGGGAGCGAGUCCGG